ensembl:lncRNA
GAAAUCUGCACUGAUAAAUCAAAGGCAAAAAAGAUGCCAGAUUGUGCCAGGGAGCUCGUGUUGUAGGUCAUCCAUCUGAUCCAGUGCCGUUCUGCACUGGGGACUGCCAUCCGACAGUAGGGCCAUGACCCUGGAGAGUGUAACCAUCAUCAUGGUUAUAUUAGUGUUACUGGCAUUUUAAAAGACAUCCUGGAACAUUCCUUUGGAGCUUCAUAGCAGUCUAAUGAGCAGAACAGGGUAGGUGACGAAACUGAGAUGUGGAGACUGUGGAGUAAAUUGUCCAAGGAAGUACUUGGCUCAUAUUCUCAAUAAAUUCACGUUCAUACAACGAACCCAUUCAUGAUGCCCCAGAGCAGCCUGAAAAGUACUUCUGAAAGUUUGUUUCUGGAAUCCCAUGCCCAGAAAUGUCUAGGACUGAGAUCCUGGGAGUUUGCAUCUUUCACCUGACUGAGAUGGGAAAGAAAUUUCCACUAGUUUUCUGUGAUUGGUUCUUGUGGAUUCAAGGCUGCUUCUUCCUACUGGAAAAGGUACUUGGAAGGCAUGGCUGCAUAGUAGGCAGGAAAUUAUAGGUCUCCACAUUGGGCUUCUGGAGAAGUAGGUAUAGAUCUAAGUACUGUGCAUGUUUACUUAUUUAAUUUUUCAACAGCCCUAAGUAGGUGCUAUUAAUAUUUUCAUCACAAAUGAUGGGACAGAAGCAGAUUUUGAGCAACUUUCUAGAAAAUGCAAAGAUACAAAGCAGAGGAACUGGGAGUCUGUUUUCCAAGUCUAAAAUGCUGACUGCUCUACCUUGCAACCCUUUACUUUCUUCCAGAAUGUGUAAGUUCUUGCUCUGUGUAUCUAUUAUCCUAGUCACCUCACUGCCUGUGUCCAGGUACAGGUAGAACAAUGGAAGCAGCUCUUGCCUGGAGGAAGACUAGGAGCUCAGGAAAUAAAGAUUUUUGCUGUACUAAAGAACUCAGGGCUUUCAAACAAAUUAACUGUCAAAGCCACAUAAGUCUCUGCAUUGUCUGUAGUGUCAUAAAAUGCACUCAAGGUACAGAGCUGCCUCAAUUCUUUCAAGAGAAAGAGGAGUCCAAUCUGGACAGAAAGGCACUGGUGGACGUUACAGGAAGUGUCUCCAGAUGCCAGAGCACUCUGACAACACAAGACAGCAACAGAUCAACCGUGGCCAGGACCACUGUGCCAAGAAGUCAGCGACAUUCCCUGUUAAGACUCUUACUUUGAUUAGGAGCUACUCCUAGAAAGAAAAUUCUGACACUGAUUUUGAUGGCUGAAGGAUGAUGUAUUAUCUGUGCCCUUAACGGUCCCAAAUUAAGCAAGAUGGGAGACUUCUAAGUUUGAAGAAUCAUCCCAAGGCCACAGUUUUAAUAAAUAAAUCUAAUUCUAAAAUCAA